UAUACAUCGUGUACAUAUACUAGUACUAUAUCUACUAGUACGAGGAUGAUGAAGGUGAUGGUUUGGCAGAAUGGGAUUGAAUGAACGUGUGGAGGGGGCUGUUUUGGGGUGCCCACCACCCUCUCUCUACCUCCCUCCUCCCUUUUUGCUUUGAGCCGAGAUGCAAAUGCAGGCAAAUCAGGCUGAGAGCAAUGGCAGCCACAAACACAGCAGAAGGGAAUGAAGAAGAAGAAGAAGAAGAAGAAGAAGGGGGGGGAUGAGAGAGAGAAAGAGAGAUGGAGAAAGAAAGGAAAGAAAGGGAAACACGGUAGGAGUAAAUCAGACUCCAACGCACCAUCAACAAGAGGCUGAAAGAAAAGUGUCGUGACCGUGAAGGCUCUCAAGUGGAAAAGUUUGGAAGUGGGCAAGGGCAGCGAGUGUCCGGCUCCUAGCUGGACAUGUGGCUGCGGCCGGCCUCCGAUCAAUGGCUCCCACGUGGUCAUUUGGGCAGCGUGCCUGUUGGGCCCAUGGCACUUUGGGAAGGAGAAGCUGGACCCUCAGAAGAGGGAGGAAAGGGAAGUAAGUAAGUAACCUCCGGUGGCCUAGGGGAUAAAAGCCUCGUGACUUGAAGAUUGGGUUGCUGAUCUGAAGGCUGCCAGGUUCGAAUCCCGAAGAGUGCGGAUGAGCUCCCUCUAUCAGCUCCAGCUCCAUGCGGGGACAUGAGAGAAGCCUCCCACAAGGAUGGUAAAACAUCAAAACAUCCGGGCAAUGUCCCCUGGGCAACGUCCUUGCAGACGGCCAAUUCUCUCACUCCAGAAGCAACGCCAGUUGCUCCUGACACGGAAAAAAAAAUCUAACUCUAUCAUCUAUCUGACUACAUUUAGAUUUGAGUAGUCCAGGGUGAUAUCCAACACCCCCUCCCCAUCAUUAUGCGUAUAGGGCACUCCUUUCUCCCUUGACCUUCUUCUCCAGGGUCUCCCAGGAAGAGAAUUCACGUUGUUUCUUCUUCCCAAGCUCCUUGUCCUCCUGCCUUGCUUUAUAAUAAAUGAUGCACUACUUUCCUAGGCAAAAUGGCAGCAGCCGACGCCGCCAUUCAAAUGAGAAGGGCCGCAUCUCAGUCUCAGAGGAAAGCAAAUUGCAAACCCAUCAGUGCAAAGGAGCGGGCUGUGUCUUGCAGCCGUGUGACAGCCCAAGGCAACGGCCAGGCAGCUCUGCCUUUGGUGUUUGAGAAGAUCCAGGGGUGCUCAUCCUUCACAACAUAAAGGGGCAUUGGGGUGGGGGCUGCUUUGGGGUGGAGGUUGGACCCUCUUAUGUCCGGCGCUUGGAAAGAGACGGGAGCAGCGGAGGGAGCGGUUGUUGCAGCAGAAGCGGCAGCAGCGGCAGCAGCAUCCCAGUCACAUGCCGCCUGCACCGGCCCCAGGGGUCCUGCGGUUCCAGGAGAUCCGCUAAUUAAAAACACAGACAGCUGGGCUCCUCGCAGGCAGGCGUGUGGCUGCGCGGCCUGGUGCGGAGGCGGUGGUGGGCCUGGCGGGUGGGUCGGGGAGGCCGCACCUGGCUGGGCCUGGCCUCUCUGGCACCGUUGGCCUUCCCCUUGGCCACACAUUUGUUUUGUUGGUCUCUUUGCAUCCAUUGAGGAGCCCCGGUGGCAAAUAUGUUAAAAGCACUGAGCUGCUGAACUUGCAGACCGAAAGGUCCCAGGUUCAAAUCCCGGGAGCGGAGUGAGCACCUGCUGUUAGUUCCAGCUUCUGCCAACCUAGCAGUUCGAAAACAUGCCAGUGUGAGUAGAUCAAUAGGUACCGCUCCGGCGGGAAGGUAACGGCACUCCAUGCAGUCAUGACCUUGGAGGUGUCUACAGACAACGCCGGCUCUUCGGCUUAGAAAUGGAGAUAAGCACCAACCCCCAGAGUCAGACAUUUAUUUAUUUAUUUAUUUACAGUAUUUAUAUUCUGCCCUUCUUUCUCACCCCGAAGGGGACUCAGGGCGGACCACAUUAUAUACAUAUAGGGCAAAUAUUCAAUGCCCAUAAGCACAUACAAUCAAGACAGAGGCAGACAGACGCAGAGGCAAUUUAACCUUCUCCUAAGGGGAUGUUCGAUUCUGGCCACAGGGGGGAGCAGCUGCUUCAUCAUCCACUGUGAUGGCACUUCCUCAUUCCAACGUUGUAAAUUAGUUAAACUUGCCUCCCCACUUUUAUAAGUGGUACCUAAAUUUCCUACGUGAUAGAUGCAACUAUCUUUCGGGUUGCUACCCUGUUUCCCCUAAAAUAAGACAUCCCCAGAAAAUAAGACCUAGUAGAAGUUUUGCUGAAUUGCUAAAUAUAAGGCCUCCACCAAAAGUAAGACCUAGCAAAGUUUUUGUUUGGAAGCAUGUCCAUCAAACAGAACCCCAGAGCAUGCAGGAUCGGUAAAUGUAUGUACCAUAAAGUGUUGUACAUGGAAAUAUUGCUAGUAACAAGAAAUUCUUGAUAGGAUUCACAGUUUGUCUAGUUAUGCUGGUUUAUGAUGACAACUACUGUACUGUAUAUAAUAAAUGUUCAUUGUUUUGUUCAACAAUAAA